CCUACGGGAGGCAGCAGUGGGGAAUAUUGCACAAUGGGCGAAAGCCUGAUGCAGCGACGCCGCGUGACGGAUGACGGCCUUCCGGUUGUAAACCUCUUUCAGCAGGGAAGAAGCGAAAGUGACGGUACCUGCAGAAGAAGCGCCGGCUAACUACGUGCCAGCAGCCGCGGUAAU
rnacentral:rRNA from 1 species